rnacentral:rRNA from 1 species
GACGAACGCUGGCGGCGUGCCUAAUACAUGCAAGUCGAGCGAGACUCUUCGGAGUCUAGCGGCGGACGGGUGAGUAACACGUGGGCAACCUGCCUGUAAGACUGGGAUAACACCGGGAAACCGGUGCUAAUACCGGAUAAUCCUUUUCCUCUCAUGAGGGAAAGAUGAAAGUCGGUUUCGGCUUACAGUUACAGAUGGGCCCGCGGCGGAUUAGCUAGUUGGUGAGGUAACGGCGCACCAAGGCGACGAUGCGGAGCCGACCUGAGAGGGUAGUCGGCCACACUGGGACUGAGGCACGGGCCAGACUCCUACGGGAGGCAGCAGUAGGGAAUCUUCCACAAUGGACGAAAGUCUGAUGGAGCAACGCCGCGUGAGCGAUGAAGGCCUUCGGGUCGUAAAGCUCUGUUGUUAGGGAAGAACAAGUACCGGAGUAACUGCCGGUACCUUGACGGUACCUAACCAGAAAGCCACGGCUAACUACGUGCCAGCAGCCGCGGUAACAC